AUUGAACGCUGGCGGCAGGCUUAACACAUGCAAGUCGAGCGGGGGAAGGUAGCUUGCUACCGGACCUAGCGGCGGACGGGUGAGUAAUGCUUAGGAAUCUGCCUAUUAGUGGGGGACAACAUCUCGAAAGGGAUGCUAAUACCGCCUACGUCCUACGGGAGAAAGCAGGGGAUCUUCGGACCUUGCGCUAAUAGAUGAGCCUAAGUCGGAUUAGCUAGUUGGUGGGGUAAAGGCCUACCAAGGCGACGAUCUGUAGCGGGUCUGAGAGGAUGAUCCGCCACACUGGGACUGAGACACGGCCCAGACUCCUACGGGAGGCAGCGGUGGGGAAUAUUGGACAAUGGGGGGAACCCUGAUCCAGCCAUGCCGCGUGUGUGAAGAAGGCCUUAUGGUUGUAAAGCACUUUAAGCGAGGAGGAGGCUACUUUAGUUAAUACCUAGAGAUAGUGGACGUUACUCGCAGAAUAAGCACCGGCUAACUCUGUGCCAGCCGCCGCGGUAA
rnacentral:rRNA from 1 species